rnacentral:rRNA from 1 species
UACGUAGGGUGCAAGCGUUAAUCGGAAUUACUGGGCGUAAAGCGUGCGCAGGCGGUUGUGUAAGACAGAUGUGAAAUCCCCGGGCUCAACCUGGGAACUGCAUUUGUGACUGCACAGCUGGAGUGCGGCAGAGGGGGAUGGAAUUCCGCGUGUAGCAGUGAAAUGCGUAGAUAUGCGGAGGAACACCGAUGGCGAAGGCAAUCCCCGUGGGCCUGCACUGACGCUCAUGCACGAAAGACGUGGGGAGCAAACAGG